UACAGAGGUCCCGAGCGUUGUUCGGAUUCAUUGGGCGUAAAGGGUGCGUAGGCGGCGGGGUAAGUCUGAUGUGAAAUCCUGGGGCUCAACCCUGGAACUGCAUUGGAUACUGCCUUGCUAGAGAACUGGAGAGGAGACUGGAAUUUACGGUGCAGCAGUGAAAUGCGUAGAGAUCGUAAGGAAGACCAGUGGCGAAGGCGAGUCUCUGGACAGUUACUGACGCUGAGGCACGAAGGCCAGGGGAGCAAACGGG
rnacentral:rRNA from 1 species